UCUCCGUAGGUGAACCUGCGGAAGGACCAUUAUUGUAUAACCGAGGUACGAGGGCUGUUGCUGACUCGAAACGGUUUGCACGCCCGAGCGCCCCCACACGCAUCCAUCCCACCCCUAUCAGCACCACCGCGCGGGCCCCCCUUUGGCUCGUUCGGUGGUGGGCGUACGGUUUCACCUAAACUUAGCAUGCAGUGUAGAAUGUAUUUUGUGUUUUUGCGAUCACGCAAUCAAGAUCACUUUCCACAACGGAACUCUUGGCUUCCGCAUCGCUGAAGAACC
rnacentral:misc_RNA from 1 species